UACGUAGGAUGCGAGCGUUAUCCGGAUUUAUUGGGUUUAAAGGGUGCGUAGGCGGCUUUUUAAGUCAGCGGUGAAAUUUUGCAGCUUAACUGUAACAGUGCCGUUGAUACUGAUAGUCUUGAGUUUGGUUAAGGUAGGCGGAAUGUGUAAUGUAGCGGUGAAAUGCUUAGAUAUUACACAGAACACCAAUUGCGUAGGCAGCUUACUGAGCCGACACUGACGCUGAGACACGAAAGCGUGGGGAUCAAACAGGAUUAGAUGCCCGGGUA
rnacentral:rRNA from 1 species